AGAGUUUGAUCCUGGCUCAGGAUGAACGCUGGCGGCGUGCUUAACACAUGCAAGUCGAACGGAGAUUACUUUUUAGCUUGCUAAGUUGUAAUCUUAGUGGCGGACGGGUGAGUAACGCGUGGGUAACCUGCCUUAUCCAGGGGGAUAACAGUGAGAAAUUACUGCUAAUACCGCAUAAGCGCACAGUUUCUCAUGAAACAUUGUGAAAAGAUUUAUCGGGAUAAGAUGGACCCGCGUCUGAUUAGCUAGUUGGUGAGGUAACGGCCCACCAAGGCGACGAUCAGUAGCCGGCCUGAGAGGGUGAACGGCCACAUUGGGACUGAGACACGGCCCAAACUCCUACGGGAGGCAGCAGUGGGGAAUAUUGCACAAUGGGGGAAACCCUGAUGCAGCGACGCCGCGUGAGUGAAGAAGUAUUUCGGUAUGUAAAGCUCUAUCAGCAGGGAAGAAAAUGACGGUACCUGACUAACAAGCCCCGGCUAACUACGUGCCACCAGCCGCGGUAAUACGUAGGGGGCAAGCGUUAUCCGGAUUUACUGGGUGUAAAGGGAGCGUAGACGGCAUGGCAAGUCUGAAGUGAAAUGCGGGGGCUCAACCCCUGAACUGCUUGGGAAACUGUUAAGCUAGAGUGUCGGAGAGGUAAGUGGAAUUCCUAGUGUAGCGGUGAAAUGCGUAGAUAUUAGGAGGAACACCGGUGGCGAAGGCGGCUUACUGGACGAUGACUGACGUUGAGGCUCGAAAGCGUGGGGAGCAAACAGGAUUAGAUACCCUGGUAGUCCACGCCGUAAACGAUGAUUACUAGGUGUUGGGAGGCUAUAGCCUUUCGGUGCCGUCGCAAACGCAAUAAGUAAUCCACCUGGGGAGUACGUUCGCAAGAAUGAAACUCAAAGGAAUUGACGGGGGCCCGCACAAGCAGCGGAGCAUGUGGUUUAAUUCGACGCAACGCGAAGAACCUUACCAGGUCUUGACAUCCAGUAAAACUUGCAGAGAUGCAUCGUGAGCUUGCUCAUACUGAGACAGGUGGUGCAUGGUUGUCGUCAGCUCGUGUCGUGAGAUGUUGGGUUAAGUCCCGCAACGAGCGCAACCCUUAUUUUCAGUUACUAACGCGUGAUGGCGAGGACUCUGAAGAGACUGCCGGGGACAACUCGGAGGAAGGUGGGGACGACGUCAAAUCAUCAUGCCCCUUAUGACCUGGGCUACACACGUGCUACAAUGGCCACCACAGAGAGGAGCGAACCUGCGAGGGGGAGCGGAUCUCAAAAAAGUGGUCCCAGUUCGGAUUGUGGGCUGCAACCCGCCCACACGAAGUUGGAGUUGCUAGUAAUCGCGGAUCAGAAUGCCGCGGUGAAUGCGUUCCCGGGUCUUGUACACACCGCCCGUCACACCAUGGAAGUUGGGGGUGCCCGAAGUCGGCAGGGAAUAUGCUGCCUAAGGCAAAACCAAUGACUGGGGUGAAGUCGUAACAAGGUAGCCGUAUCGGAAGGUGCGGCUGGAUCACCUCCUU
rnacentral:rRNA from 1 species